rnacentral:rRNA from 1 species
AACGAACGCUGGCGGCAGGCCUAACACAUGCAAGUCGAGCGAGAUCUUCGGGUCUAGCGGCGGACGGGUGAGUAACGCGUGGGAAUAUGCCCUUCUCUACGGAACAGCCCUGGGAAACUGGGAGUAAUACCGUAUACGCCCUACGGGGGAAAGAUUUAUCGGAGAAGGAUUAGCCCGCGUUGGAUUAGGUAGUUGGUGGGGUAAUGGCCUACCAAGCCUACGAUCCAUAGCUGGUUUGAGAGGAUGAUCAGCCACACUGGGACUGAGACACGGCCCAGACUCCUACGGGAGGCAGCAGUGGGGAAUCUUAGACAAUGGGGGCAACCCUGAUCUAGCCAUGCCGCGUGAGUGAUGAAGGCCUUAGGGUUGUAAAGCUCUUUCAGCUGGGAAGAUAAUGACGGUACCAGCAGAAGAAGCCCCGGCUAACUCCGUGCCAGCCGCCGCCGUAAUAC